ensembl:lncRNA
GCACCUCCCCUACAAAGACAGGCUGAAGGAGCUGGGCUUGAUCAAAAAGCAGUGCUGUAUGUAAAAAGUGGAGCCACAGAUCAGAUAAUCUGAAUUUCUGGAGAUGUAAUAGAGAAACUAGAAUGAAAGGGGAAGAAAUUGAAUAAAUCUAAUGUCCUCUGUGCCAGAAUAGGACGUUUGAGAGAGUCCCUGGUCUGUGUAGCACCGGGGUUCUGCUCUUGAAAGAGAGAUUUUAUCUGCUGCAAUAAUAUGUGGCUCUGCACUGGGGACAGCUGGAUGAAGGAUCCACAAAAAAACCUCAGAUUGCUGUAAAAGAAUUGAAAAGUCACCCUGGAAUGUGUAUUCUGGAGUAUGUGUAAUGAACUCUUCCUUCUGUGCAAUUAUGGAGAAGUCUCAGCUGUCCACGUGUGGGCCUCAGGAAACAAAAAGGGCAUCAAGUAAUGGGAGGCAGUCCAGAGAAAAACUCAAUGAAAAAUGACCGAGGAUCCAAAAAACAUGCUGAUCAAAAGGGCUGGGGUUGCUUGGUUCACACAACAAAAAGCAGCAGGGAGAAAUAAGGGAGCUUAAAUGUUUAAAAUAUUGCUGCAGAGGGAAAAUACCAAUUUUUCAUAUCCAGUGCAAGAAGUUACGGGUGUGAAAUGCAGUAAGGGGUAGAGGGAUCAGUCAAAAAGGAGGUCCCCAAACCUCCACAAGUGGUUUAGCACUGGAGGAGGAAAGUAGGCUGCCAGGAGCAUGGGAGAAUCUCCUUCCAUCCAUGGGUCUGACCCAGAGUGGCCACGGUGCUCUGACAGGAGCUGAAAUGUUCCCCGUGAGAGGGGCAGGCUGGGUGACCUCUAUCAUGGAUGGGAAAUGAGGCCCUUAGUUUUGCUCUUUUGUAUUUCUCUCUGCAAAAUGAGGGCAGUUCAUAGUGGGCCACUUGAUUACCUUAAAUCUGUCAGAGAUUAUGAGGAGACUGGAUGCUUCAGGAGCAAAGGAAAGGAGAUGUACAAGCACCUGAAGUUGAUCUGCAGCCCUUUAAAUCUGUAAUUUAAGUGGUUGUGAUAAAACUGAGAUGCUGCCGUGCUGAGAAUCCUGAAGGGAAUAGGGUCUCAUUUUCUUUCUUUUUAUGGAGCAUUAUUGAAUAAGAUGUCAGGGACAGUGUUUAAGAAAGCCACUCUAGACCAAGAGCUGUCAUCUUUGUAUUCCUGGGGCAGAACUUGCAGUGAAGCCCAAUGGCAGUAUCCGUGUGGCUGAUGAAGGAGUGUUGCCUUUCACUGUACACUGUCCUGCAAAAAAAAACCUGCCCUUAAGGUCAGCACGUUCCCAUUUUCUAUUGGGCUCUACCAGCUCUGAGGGAGAGGAUUGCUUGCUGGGAGGGGAGCUCAAACUGGUGUCCAUCUCAGAUGGGAGCUGGGGCUGAAAACACAUUGUCUGAAAUGCAGGAAUGCUGAAGAGGUGUCACGAGACCACUGUCCAAAUUUGGUUGUCAAAUGCUGAGUUUUCUUGGAAAGAAUUCAUUACUAAAAGUACUCAGACUUCUCUUGCAGCAACUUGGGGUCUAGCACAUAAGAGAGGCAGAGGAAGAGGAAAUACAAAAAAAGGUUGUAACACAGAAACAGAAAGAAUAUCUUCAGAGUUUAGGCAUGUGGACAGAGCAAUGGAGUUGUCAUGUUUUAAUAAGCAACCAGUGAUGAACUGAGCUGUGUUACAUUGGUGGGCAGUGGUGAUGGUGGACAGUGAUAGGACAAGGGGGAAUGGUUUUAAACUGAGACAGGGGAGGUUUAGGUUGGAGAUGAGGAGGAAGUUUUUCCCCCAGAGGGUGGUGACACACUGAACAGGUUGCCCAAGGAGGCUGUGGGUGCCCCAUCCCUGCAGGCAUUCAAGGCCAGGCUGGAUGUGGCUCUGGGCAGCCUGGGCUGCUGGUUGGCGACCCUGCACAUAGCAGGGGGUUGGAACUGGAUGAGCAUUGUGCUCCUUUUCAACCCAGGC